rnacentral:lncRNA from 1 species
GGCCGGGGAAGGGAGCGAGGGAGAAGAGCCCCUCGGAGCCCUGAGGAGUGCAGCAGAGCUGCUCUGAGCUGAGCGCGCCAGCUGCCCCUCCCUGUCCUCUACCUGCGCUCGCUCACUCCUCUGCCUCCUCCCCUGCCCCGCCCCCGCUCUACCUGAGCUCACCCUCCGCCCCCGCCCCGCCCCCCUAGGCACGCGCUGCCUCCGCUGCCGCAGGACGCGCCGGGCACCUGGCACCUGGCAGCCGCUGCGGGCACACCUCCCCAGCCAGCUACGUCCAGGCGGAGCCGUUCUGUCCGGGCAGGAGGCGGGCGCGCAGACGGCCGGCCAGGAAGCCCCACGGAGGGCAAGCGAGCAGAGACCGGAGCCGCCUAGGAGAACAAGUCCGGGGCCAGCUUUGCCUCCGGGCGCCCAGGCUGAGUCCGUGCCCCCAACAUGGCUUCCGCCGCCACAGCCGAAACAGCUCCGGGAGCCCAGGGUAACCAUGGAUCCUAUAACCCACGAAGUUCUAGAAAGGUAAAAAUAAAAUUUUUCUCAAACUUGAGACA